rnacentral:rRNA from 1 species
GGGUUGUGAGGUUAAGCGACUAAGCGUACACGGUGGAUGCCCUGGCAGUCAGAGGCGAUGAAGGACGUGCUAAUCUGCGAUAAGCGUCGGUAAGGUGAUAUGAACCGUUAUAACCGGCGAUUUCCGAAUGGGGAAACCCAGUGUGUUUCGACACACUAUCAUUAACUGAAUCCAUAGGUUAAUGAGGCGAACCGGGGGAACUGAAACAUCUAAGUACCCCGAGGAAAAGAAAUCAACCGAGAUUCCCCCAGUAGCGGCGAGCGAACGGGGAGCAGCCCAGAGCCUGAAUCAGUGUGUGUGUUAGUGGAAGCGUCUGGAAAGGCGCGCGAUACAGGGUGACAGCCCCGUACACAAAAAUGCACAUGCUGUGAGCUCGAUGAGUAGGGCGGGACACGUGGUAUCCUGUCUGAAUAUGGGGGGACCAUCCUCCAAGGCUAAAUACUCCUGACUGACCGAUAGUGAACCAGUACCGUGAGGGAAAGGCGAAAAGAACCCCGGCGAGGGGAGUGAAAAAGAACCUGAAACCGUGUACGUACAAGCAGUGGGAGCACGCUUAGGCGUGUGACUGCGUACCUUUUGUAUAAUGGGUCAGCGACUUAUAUUCUGUAGCAAGGUUAACCGAAUAGGGGAGCCGAAGGGAAACCGAGUCUUAACUGGGCGUUAAGUUGCAGGGUAUAGACCCGAAACCCGGUGAUCUAGCCAUGGGCAGGUUGAAGGUUGGGUAACACUAACUGGAGGACCGAACCGACUAAUGUUGAAAAAUUAGCGGAUGACUUGUGGCUGGGGGUGAAAGGCCAAUCAAACCGGGAGAUAGCUGGUUCUCCCCGAAAGCUAUUUAGGUAGCGCCUCGUGAAUUCAUCUCCGGGGGUAGAGCACUGUUUCGGCAAGGGGGUCAUCCCGACUUACCAACCCGAUGCAAACUGCGAAUACCGGAGAAUGUUAUCACGGGAGACACACGGCGGGUGCUAACGUCCGUCGUGAAGAGGGAAACAACCCAGACCGCCAGCUAAGGUCCCAAAGUCAUGGUUAAGUGGGAAACGAUGUGGGAAGGCCCAGACAGCCAGGAUGUUGGCUUAGAAGCAGCCAUCAUUUAAAGAAAGCGUAAUAGCUCACUGGUCGAGUCGGCCUGCGCGGAAGAUGUAACGGGGCUAAACCAUGCACCGAAGCUGCGGCAGCGACGCUGAUGCGUUGUUGGGUAGGGGAGCGUUCUGUAAGCCUGCGAAGGUGUGCUGUGAGGCAUGCUGGAGGUAUCAGAAGUGCGAAUGCUGACAUAAGUAACGAUAAAGCGGGUGAAAAGCCCGCUCGCCGGAAGACCAAGGGUUCCUGUCCAACGUUAAUCGGGGCAGGGUGAGUCGACCCCUAAGGCGAGGCCGAAAGGCGUAGUCGAUGGGAAACAGGUUAAUAUUCCUGUACUUGGUGUUACUGCGAAGGGGGGACGGAGAAGGCUAUGUUGGCCGGGCGACGGUUGUCCCGGUUUAAGCGUGUAGGCUGGUUUUCCAGGCAAAUCCGGAAAAUCAAGGCUGAGGCGUGAUGACGAGGCACUACGGUGCUGAAGCAACAAAUGCCCUGCUUCCAGGAAAAGCCUCUAAGCAUCAGGUAACAUCAAAUCGUACCCCAAACCGACACAGGUGGUCAGGUAGAGAAUACCAAGGCGCUUGAGAGAACUCGGGUGAAGGAACUAGGCAAAAUGGUGCCGUAACUUCGGGAGAAGGCACGCUGAUAUGUAGGUGAGGUCCCUCGCGGAUGGAGCUGAAAUCAGUCGAAGAUACCAGCUGGCUGCAACUGUUUAUUAAAAACACAGCACUGUGCAAACACGAAAGUGGACGUAUACGGUGUGACGCCUGCCCGGUGCCGGAAGGUUAAUUGAUGGGGUUAGCGCAAGCGAAGCUCUUGAUCGAAGCCCCGGUAAACGGCGGCCGUAACUAUAACGGUCCUAAGGUAGCGAAAUUCCUUGUCGGGUAAGUUCCGACCUGCACGAAUGGCGUAAUGAUGGCCAGGCUGUCUCCACCCGAGACUCAGUGAAAUUGAACUCGCUGUGAAGAUGCAGUGUACCCGCGGCAAGACGGAAAGACCCCGUGAACCUUUACUAUAGCUUGACACUGAACAUUGAGCCUUGAUGUGUAGGAUAGGUGGGAGGCUUUGAAGUGUGGACGCCAGUCUGCAUGGAGCCGACCUUGAAAUACCACCCUUUAAUGUUUGAUGUUCUAACGUUGACCCGUAAUCCGGGUUGCGGACAGUGUCUGGUGGGUAGUUUGACUGGGGCGGUCUCCUCCUAAAGAGUAACGGAGGAGCACGAAGGUUGGCUAAUCCUGGUCGGACAUCAGGAGGUUAGUGCAAUGGCAUAAGCCAGCUUGACUGCGAGCGUGACGGCGCGAGCAGGUGCGAAAGCAGGUCAUAGUGAUCCGGUGGUUCUGAAUGGAAGGGCCAUCGCUCAACGGAUAAAAGGUACUCCGGGGAUAACAGGCUGAUACCGCCCAAGAGUUCAUAUCGACGGCGGUGUUUGGCACCUCGAUGUCGGCUCAUCACAUCCUGGGGCUGAAGUAGGUCCCAAGGGUAUGGCUGUUCGCCAUUUAAAGUGGUACGCGAGCUGGGUUUAGAACGUCGUGAGACAGUUCGGUCCCUAUCUGCCGUGGGCGCUGGAGAACUGAGGGGGGCUGCUCCUAGUACGAGAGGACCGGAGUGGACGCAUCACUGGUGUUCGGGUUGUCAUGCCAAUGGCACUGCCCGGUAGCUAAAUGCGGAAGAGAUAAGUGCUGAAAGCAUCUAAGCACGAAACUUGCCCCGAGAUGAGUUCUCCCUGACCCUUUAAGGGUCCUGAAGGAACGUUGAAGACGACGACGUUGAUAGGCCGGGUGUGUAAGCGCAGCGAUGCGUUGAGCUAACCGGUACUAAUGAACCGUGAGGCUUAACCUUACAACGCCGAAGCUGUU